rnacentral:rRNA from 1 species
UACAGAGGUCUCAAGCGUUGUUCGGAUUCAUUGGGCGUAAAGGGCGCGUAGGCGGCAAGGCAAGUCGGGUGUGAAAGCUUGGGGCUUAACCCCGAAAGGGGCACUCGAAACUGCCCUGCUAGAGGGCCGGGAGAGGAAGAUCGGAAUUCACGGUGUAGCAGUGAAAUGCGUAGAGCUCGUGAGGAAGCCGGUGGCGAAGGCGGAUCUCUGGACGGCCCUGACGCUGAGGCGCGAAAGCGUGGGGAGCGAACAGG